AUGGAUCCAGACGAAAAAAGAGCGUUGAGGGAUUAUUUCUACAACAAAUUCAAAAUUCCUGGCAUCGUAGGAUGUAUCGAUGGGACGCAUAUUCAAAUAACUAAACCUCAUAUCAAUGAAAAUUUAUUCUUCAACAGAAAAGGAUAUUUUAGUAUGAAUGCGAUGCUUAUUUGUGACAGCAAUAUGAUAAUACGUGCGGUUGAUUCACGAUACCCCGGCGCAAGCCAUGAUUCUUUCGUAUGGAAUGUAAGCAAUGCGCGGCAAUAUUUUCUACAGGAAUACGAAAAUGGAGACCGAUCAUCAAGACUACUGGGCGAUUCCGGAUAUGGUAUAGAACCAUUUAUGUUAACACCCUAUCGGGAUCCCCAAUAUGCAUCUCAACAAUAUAAAUUUAAUAACGCGCAUUCCUCAGCCCGCAACAUAAUAGAACGAACUAUAGGAGUUUUAAAGAGCCGAUUUCGUUGCUUGCAAAGGACUUUACACUAUCAACCUAAGAAGGUAGUUAAAAUUGUAAAUGUCUGUUGCGCGCUGCAUAACAUCUGUCGACAGUAUAAUGUAGAAUGGAAUGAAAAUGCUAAUCUUACAACAUCAGAGAAUUUUCAUGAAGACACUUUUAUGCUGCAAACUAGCAAUAUGCAAAAUGAGGGCCGUAGGUUAAGGGAUGAGAUUGCUAAUAGUCUUUAAGCAAUAAUGUCAUCACCUACAAGAUUAUAGUAUACUACGGUCUAUGUUACAUGCAAACUUUGAAUUUAUUUAGGAAGAAGGGAGAAACAGAGUACCGCUCUAUUAAGGUCAUAUAUAAGGGGAAUUAUGAUCAGGAUGAGUAGCUGGUUAAAUAGGCAAAGAAAACAAAACAUAAGGUGCGAAUGUGUGACUAUUAUUCAAUGGAUACACUUUACAUUUGAACCGAUGAUGCAAAGACGGUCGACGAAAAAGUCUUUGCUUUGGAUUUAAAACCUGAUGAAUUUGUGACAGCCAUAGUUAAAUAACGGGUCGCUUAAGUCGGAGGUUAUGCUUUGCAGGUUGCCAAGUAUCAUCGGGGCCGUAUCUUGCUCCAGUACCAAUUUAACAACAGGCACAUAUCAAGAAUGUACUUGAGGAUUUUGUUAAAUUGGUGAUUCCGAUACGAAACUAUGGCAAGCUGGUGAAAGUGCAUACAAAAAUGCGGCAUUCAAAAGUGCGAAUAUUCAACUAACGCCAAAGCAGGUGGUCUAUGUGAGAAUGCCGAGGUUUGCACGGUUAAGUGGCACAUAAACGUUUAGAUGAAUACUAUGAGAGUUUUAAUUAAUUUACUACCGAAUUUUUUUAAGCCUGUUGGGAAAACAAUUUUUGCUUUUAUUUAGUUAGGUGUUAAUUACAAAUAAGAGUUUUACAUACAGUCACUCACACAAGUAUUCGUAAUUUAGUUUUUUUCACAAUAUUCAAAAUG
rnacentral:misc_RNA from 1 species